rnacentral:rRNA from 1 species
CUGGGAAACUGCCUGAUGGAGGGGGAUAACUACUGGAAACGGUAGCUAAUACCGCAUAACGUCGCAAGACCAAAGAGGGGGACCUUCGGGCCUCUUGCCAUCGGAUGUGCCCAGAUGGGAUUAGCUAGUAGGUGGGGUAACGGCUCACCUAGGCGACGAUCCCUAGCUGGUCUGAGAGGAUGACCAGCCACACUGGAACUGAGACACGGUCCAGACUCCUACGGGAGGCAGCAGUGGGGAAUAUUGCACAAUGGGCGCAAGCCUGAUGCAGCCAUGCCGCGUGUAUGAAGAAGGCCUUCGGGUUGUAAAGUACUUUCAGCGGGGAGGAAGGGAGUAAAGUUAAUACCUUUGCUCAUUGACGUUACCCGCAGAAGAAGCACCGGCUAACUCCGUGCCAGCAGCCGCGGUAAUACGGAGGGUGCAAGCGUUAAUCGGAAUUACUGGGCGUAAAGCGCACGCAGGCGGUUUGUUAAGUCAGAUGUGAAAUCCCCGGGCUCAACCUGGGAACUGCAUCUGAUACUGGCAAGCUUGAGUC